CAGUAGCCACGGUAAUACAGAGGAUGCAAGCGUUAUCCGGAAUGAUUGGGCGUAAAGCGUCUGUAGGUGGCUUUUCAAGUCCGCCGUCAAAUCCCAGGGCUCAACCCUGGACAGGCGGUGGAAACUACCAAGCUGGAGUACGGUAGGGGCAGAGGGAAUUUCCGGUGGAGCGGUGAAAUGCGUCGAGAUCGGAAAGAACACCAACGGCGAAAGCGGCUCUCUGGCUUGUAACUGACGCUGAGGCUCGAAAGCGUGGGGAGCAAACAGGAUUAGAUACCCGAGUAGUCCCUGUCUCUUAUAA
rnacentral:rRNA from 1 species